rnacentral:piRNA from 1 species
CCAAUUCCAUGUUUAGAUUUUUGAGU